rnacentral:rRNA from 1 species
CUACACAUGCAAGUCGAACGGACCCUUCGGGGUUAGUGGCGGACGGGUGAGUAACACGUGGGAACGUGCCUUUAGGUUCGGAAUAGCUCCUGGAAACGGGUGGUAAUGCCGAAUGUGCCCUUCGGGGGAAAGAUUUAUCGCCUUUAGAGCGGCCCGCGUCUGAUUAGCUAGUUGGUUGGGGUAAUGGCCCACCAAGGCUACGAUCAGUAGCUGGUCUGAGAGGAUGACCAGCCACAUUGGGACUGAGACACGGCCCAAACUCCUACGGGAGGCAGCAGUGGGGAAUCUUGCGCAAUGGGCGAAAGCCUGACGCAGCCAUGCCGCGUGGAUGAUGAAGGUCUUAGGAUUGUAAAAUCCUUUCACCGGUGAAGAUAAUGACUGUAGCCGGAGAAGAAGCCCCGGCUAACUUCGUGCCAGCAGCCGCGGUAAUACGAAGGGGGCUAGCGUUGCUCGGAAUUACUGGGCGUAAAGGGAGCGUAGGCGGACAUUUAAGUCAGGGGUGAAAUCCCAGAGCUCAACUCUGGAACUGCCUUUGAUACUGGGUGUCUUGAGUGUGAGAGAGGUAUGUGGAACUCCGAGUGUAGAGGUGAAAUUCGUAGAUAUUCGGAAGAACACCAGUGGCGAAGGCGACAUACUGGCUCAUUACUGACGCUGAGGCUCGAAAGCGUGGGGAGCAAACAGGAUUAGAUACCCUGGUAGUCCACGCCGUAAACGAUGAUUGCUAGUUGUCGGGAUGUUUACAUCUCGGUGACGC